UAAGGAAUAUUGGACAAUGGUCGCAAGACUGAUCCAGCCAUGCCGCGUGCAGGAAGACGGCCCUAUGGGUUGUAAACUGCCUUUGUACCAGAGAAAACCUAUCUACGUGUAGAUAGCUGAUAGUAUGGUAAGAAUAAGCAUCGGCUAACUUCGUGCCAGCAGCCGCGGUAAGACGAAGGAUGCAAGCGUUAUCCGGAUUCAUUGGGUUUAAAGGGUGCGUAGGCGGGCUUGUAAGUCAGUGGUGAAAUCUCUCAGCUUAACUGAGAAACUGCCAUUGAUACUGCAGGCCUAGAGUAUAGAUGACGUUGGCGGAAUAUGACAUGUAGUGGUGAAAUACUUAGAUAUGUCAUAGAACACCGAUUGCGAAGGCAGCUAACGAAACUAUAACUGACGCUGAGGCACGAAAGUGCGGGGAUCAAACA
rnacentral:rRNA from 1 species